AUUGAACGCUGGCGGCAGGCCUAACACAUGCAAGUCGAGCGGAUGAAGGGAGCUUGCUCCUGGAUUCAGCGGCGGACGGGUGAGUAAUGCCUAGGAAUCUGCCCGGUAGUGGGGGAUAACGUCCGGAAACGGGCGCUAAUACCGCAUACGUUCUGAGGGAGAAAGUGGGGGAUCUUCGGACCUCACGCUAUCAGAUGAGCCUAGGUCGGAUUAGCUAGUUGGUGGGGUAAAGGCUUACCAAGGCGACGAUCCGUAACUGGUCUGCGAGGAUGAUCAGUCACACUGGAACUGAGACACGGUCCAGACUCCUACGGGAGGCAGCAGUGGGGAAUAUUGGACAAUGGGCGAAAGCCUGAUCCAGCCAUGCCGCGUGUGUGAAGAAGGUCUUCGGAUUGUAAAGCACUUUAAGUUGGGAGGAAGGGCAGUAAAUUAAUACCUUGCUGUUUUGACGUUACCAACAGAAUAAGCACCGGCUAACUACGUG
rnacentral:rRNA from 1 species